rnacentral:rRNA from 1 species
UACGUAGGGUGCGAGCGUUAAUCGGAAUUACUGGGCGUAAAGCGUGCGCAGGCGGUUGUGCAAGACCGAUGUGAAAGCCCCGGGCUCAACCUGGGAACGGCAUUGGUGACUGCACGGCUAGAGUGUGUCAGAGGGGGGUAGAAUUCCACGUGUAGCAGUGAAAUGCGUAGAGAUGUGGAGGAAUACCGAUGGCGAAGGCAGCCCCCUGGGAUGACACUGACGCUCAUGCACGAAAGCGUGGGGAGCAAACAGG